rnacentral:rRNA from 1 species
AUUGAACGCUGGCGGCAUGCUUUACACAUGCAAGUCGAACGGUAACAGGGUAAGUAGAGUGGCAAACGGGUGAGUAAUGAAUAGGAAUGUACCUUUUGGUGGGGGAUAACCACAGGAAACCGUGGCUAAUACCGCAUGAGAUCGAGAGAUGAAAGGAGGCGUCGGGCAACCGAGCUUUCGCCGAUAGAGCAGCCUAUUUCCCAUUAGCUAGUUGGUAGGGUAAUGGCUCACCAAGGCGACGACGGGUAGCCGGCCUGAGAGGGUGACCGGCCACACUGGGACUGAGACACGGCCCGGACUCCUACGGGAGGCAGCAGUGGGGAAUAUUGCACAAUGGGCGCAAGCCUGAUGCAGCAACGCCGCGUGAGGGACGACGGCCUUCGGGUUGUAAACCUCUUUUAGCAGGGAAGAAGCGCAAGUGACGGUACCUGCAGAAAAAGCACCGGCUAACUACGUGCCAGCAGCCGCCGUAA